GAACAAACGCUGGCGGCGUGCCUAAUACAUGCAAGUCGAACGGGGAAAGCCUUCGGGUGAGUACUAGUGGCGCACGGGUGAGUAACACGUGGGUAAUCUGCCUUAGAGUGGGGGAUAACUAGUCGAAAGAUUAGCUAAUACCGCAUAAGACCACAAGAUCUACGGAUCAAGAGGUCAAAGGAGCAAUUCGCUCUAAGAUGAGCCCGCGCAAGAUUAGCUAGUUGGUGAGGUAAUGGCUCACCAAGGCGACGAUCUUUAGCUGGUCUGAGAGGAUGAUCAGCCACACUGGAACUGAGACACGGUCCAGACUCCUACGGGAGGCAGCAGUAGGGAAUAUUGCACAAUGGAGGAAACUCUGAUGCAGCGACGCCGCGUGAGUGAUGAAGGACUUCGGUUCGUAAAGCUCUGUUGCAAGGGAAUAACACAAUGAAUGUACCUUGUGAGGAAGGGUCGGCUAACUUCGUGCCAGCAGCCGCGGUAAGACGAGGGACCCUAGCGUUGUUCGGAAUCAUUGGGCGUAAAGCGGGUGUAGGUGGCUUUGUAAGUCAGGUGUGAAAUCCCAGGGCUCAACCCUGGAAGUGCAUUUGAUACUGCGAAGCUUGAGUGCCGGAGAGGUUACUGGAAUACCUGGUGUAGUGGUGAAAUACGUAGAUAUCAGGUGGAACACCGGAGGCGAAGGCGGGUAACUGGCCGGACACUGACACUCAGACCCGAAAGCGUGGGGAUCAAACAGGAUUAGAUACCCUGGUAGUCCACGCCGUAAACGAUGGAUACUUGUUGUUGGAGGUAUUGACCCCUUCAGUGACGAAGCUAACG
rnacentral:rRNA from 1 species